CCGGAGCCGCGGCUCCGGGGCAGGACCGGCACCUCCCGGGCUGCAGUGGCUCGCCUGGGGAAAGGAUUUGCCGCUCCGAAAGGUUCAUGGUGGGGGUUCGAGACGCCUGCUUGCUUACGUGGUUGCGGGGAGAGAAAACGCACCACUGCGUCAGUGUUAGAAAGAGAACAUGAUAAAGUUACUUCCUUCCGAGCAGAAAGUACUUGCCAUAGGAAUACGUCGGUCUGCAUUUGUGCUCUGUGCUUUUGCCGGCAGUGCUGCACCGGUGUGUAAACAGGAGAUUUGUAGGCACCUCUUCCCUUGGAAAGGGACUUGGAGGAGGGAGAAGAAGCUGAAUGAACAAGAAGCACAGAAUUAGCAUAAUCCAGACCAAGAAUAUAACCUACUGCCAUGAGUUAAAGGGGAUGCCAGGCAGGUUCAUGGGAAAGAAGUCCUUUACAGGUUGUAGACACACAAACCAUGACUUGGGAAAUCCCGGAGCUGAUCAUGGUUGGAGGCUGGGACACGAAUACCCUCUGUCCUGCUGUUAUAUGUUCCCCCAGUUGUGAUGCUACACAAAAGAGGCAGGAUUGUUUCUGGAGCAGAGCUCUUGCAUCAAACACGUUGCCUGAGCUGAAGAUCCUUACCAGACUGAAGCUGGCCUGGCAUGAAGCCAUCUUCCUGUGCUUGGAGCUUUGAUGUGUCCCGAUAUCAUCUGCAGCUUGACUACACCUCUUGGUGGUAUCACUGAUUGGCUGUACAAGGAUGGGCUUAAUUAAUAGCAACAUUUGUGUCAGUUUUGAACCAUUAUGCUCAAGAUGAAAGCUAAUAGGAACAAAAAAAAAAAAAAAUCCACAUCUGUCAUACUAUAUUUCAGAUACCUUAUUUGAAAGCUUUUAUAUUAUCCAAAGUUAAAGAUGAUAUGUUGGAUAAGAUAUAAUAGUUUAGAUAUAAAUAGAUAGAUAGAAUAGUUUAGAUAUAAAUAGAUAAUAGAUACAAAAAUAAUUUUUGUUGCAUUCUGUAAAGAAUCACAUGCUUAAAAUCAAUUGCAAUAUUCAAGUCUAAUUGUCCUUUCACUACCAGCCUUCUUACAAUGAUGAAAUUGGAAGAGAAUGUCAUGACAAGUUAAGCAAAGGGGAACUUACACAGUGAGACUGAUUGAAAUUAUUGGAGUUGAAAAGAGUACUGGGAAAAACAGAUUGUGUAUUACUUGAUCUUACAUGUCAUGUAAAAUAUGUAUUAUGUAUAAUUCACAAGUAAUAGAUUUAAUUUACAUAUUUAUCUAUUUACCUAUUUAUCUUAGUUAAUAGCUGCAUUAUGUUCAGCAUAUGGCAAUGUAAUCACUUAAAGAUUUCUCAUUAAAAAACAAAAAAAUAUUAACACCCUGUUAACUUUAGUAAGAAUAAUGUGGGAGUUUGAAAUAUCUUGUAAAUUUACCAGGCAUACUAAUCAAAAGCUAUGGUUAGCUAGUAGCUAAUUACAGGGUACCCUAAUAAGGGUAACUAAUUACAGUUACCAUUGAAAUAGUAACUAAAUAUGCUGCACUGCUGAACUUAAAAAGUUCACCUUAUUUCCUUGAUCCUGAAUAAAAAAAACCAAAGGGAAUCAGAUUUUGACAUCCUGUACAUGUUUGUCACUCAGAGCAAUCUUGGUAAUACAUUUUCUGUCCAAUACCUGCACUUAAUAAAUUUUUUAACAUGGAGAUAUAAAUCCACAUAUUUUAUUUCUAGUAUUUGCAUGCUUUAUAGCCUCUUCUCAGUGCUGGACUAGUUCUAAUUUUGUUCAUUUUUUAACAUAAAAGGAAAGAUUUAUCAUCCCCAUGUUUCAAUUCUUAACUAUCGGUCAUGCUACUUUUCAUCUCAGUAAUUUAUGUGAAUGUUUUCCAUUCUGGGUGACAACUAUAUUGCAUUCACUUUGGAAAUGCUGUUGCUUUUUAAUGGUUUAGCACAAAUCCAAGGUGUUGGGACAGACAUACAGACAUGGUUUUCCUUCUUUCUCCCAUAACUUUCCAGAGAACUAGGGAUCCUGCCCAAGUGCCCAUUCAAUAUGAGUUGUAUUUAUUUUCUUUUCUAUUUUUAAGAAAAAAAACCCCAAAACCCACUGCAUAUAGUUGCUUAUGCAUUACAUAAGAUCAAGCUAAAUGUGAUGUGUGGCUAGAAUUUUAGAGUUCAA